rnacentral:rRNA from 1 species
GACAGAGGUGGCAAGCGUUGUUCGGAUUUAUUGGGCGUAAAGCGCACGCAGGCGGUUUGGUAAGUCAGGGGUGAAAGCCCACAGCUUAACUGUGGGACUGCCCUUGAUACUGCCUUUCUCGAGAGCAUGAGGGGGAAGCGGCAUUCCGAGUGUAGAGGUGAAAUUCGUAGAUAUUCGGAGGAACACCGGUGGCGAAGGCGGCUUCCUGGCAUGUAACUGACGCUCAGGUGCGAAAGCGUGGGUAGCAAACAGGAUUAGAUACCCUGGUAGUCCACGCCCUAAACGAUGGGCACUAGGUGUGGGAGGUAUCGACCCCUUCCGUGCCGCAGCUAACGCAUUAAGUGCCCCGCCUGGGGAGUACGGCCGCAAGGUUGAAACUUAAAGGAAUUGACGG